rnacentral:lncRNA from 1 species
AUUAGACCUAAAGUCUGACCUUUGGUGCAAUUUCUAUUUGGGCAGACGAGCUUAUUGGGCCUGCGCCCAAUAAGCCCAAAAUAUAAAAGCCCAACACCAUGACCCAUAGAGACCACUUACACACAUUGACCAUCAUUACCGAACUCCUGAAGUUUCAACAAACGAAUUGGUUUAUUUUCAAUGUAAAAAGAAAAUAGGGCCAUGCUCUAAUAGAAUUUUCAUAUUGCAUGAACUGGAGAGCCUCGCUUUCACUGAGCAGAUGGGACCCCCAUCAUUACACCCACCCAGAAGGGGCACCUCCUCUGCCGCUGCUGCUGCCUUGUGUUUGCUCCAUUAGGAGCAUGGUGACAAAAAAAAAGCCGG